rnacentral:rRNA from 1 species
UACGUAGGGUGCGAGCGUUUGUCCGGAAUUAUUGGGCGUAAAGGGCUCGUAGGCGGUUUGUCGCGUCGGGAGUGAAAACGCCGGGCUUAACUCGGUGCUUGCUUUCGAUACGGGCAGACUAGAGGUAUGCAGGGGAGAACGGAAUUCCUGGUGUAGCGGUGAAAUGCGCAGAUAUCAGGAGGAACACCGGUGGCGAAGGCGGUUCUCUGGGCAUUACCUGACGCUGAGGAGCGAAAGUGUGGGGAGCGAACAGG